CGGGCCUUUGGCAGGCGCCCGGCCUCUUCGAAGACGGUCUCCGUCCAAGCGCUGC
rnacentral:ncRNA from 1 species